GCCAUUUCUAGUCGUUUUCAAAGCGCCUCGCGCUGAUUCUCACGGGCCCGGCCGCCGGCCCCCGCUCUGCCCUGGAUUGGGAGCUUAUGUCGAUCUUGAUGAAAGAGCAAUUGAUGCUCUCAGGGAAUUUAAUGAAGAAGGAGCUCUGUCUGUACUACAGCAGUUCAAGGAAAGUGACUUAUCACAUGUUCAGAACAAAAGUGCAUUUUUAUGUGGAGUUAUGAAGACCUACAGGCAGAGAGAGAAACAGGGGAGCAAGGUGCAAGAGUCCACAAAGGGACCUGAUGAAGCAAAGAUCAAGGCCUUGCUUGAGAGAACUGGUUAUACUCUGGAUGUAACCACAGGACAGAGGAAGUAUGGUGGUCCUCCACCAGACAGUGUGUACUCUGGCGUGCAACCUGGAAUUGGAACGGAGGUGUUUGUAGGCAAAAUACCAAGAGAUUUAUAUGAGGAUGAGUUGGUGCCCCUUUUUGAGAAGGCCGGACCCAUUUGGGAUCUACGUCUUAUGAUGGAUCCACUGUCUGGUCAGAAUAGAGGGUAUGCAUUUAUCACCUUCUGUGGAAAGGAAGCUGCACAGGAAGCCGUGAAACUGUGUGACAGCUAUGAAAUUCGCCCUGGUAAACACCUUGGAGUGUGCAUUUCUGUGGCAAACAACAGACUUUUUGUUGGAUCCAUUCCGAAGAAUAAGACUAAAGAAAACAUUUUGGAAGAAUUCAGUAAAGUCACAGAGGGUUUGGUGGACGUUAUUCUCUAUCAUCAACCCGAUGACAAAAAGAAGAAUCGGGGGUUCUGCUUCCUUGAAUAUGAGGAUCACAAGUCAGCAGCACAAGCCAGACGCCGGCUGAUGAGUGGAAAAGUAAAAGUGUGGGAAAAUGUAGUUACAGUUAAAUGGGCUGACCCUGUGGAAGAACCAGAUCCAGAAGUCAUGGCUAAGGUAAAAGUUUUGUUUGUGAGAAACUUGGCUACUACAGUGACAGAAGAAAUAUUGGAAAAGUCAUUUUCUGAAUUUGGAAAACUCGAAAAAGUAAAGAAGUUGAAAGAUUAUGCAUUUGUUCAUUUUGAAGACAGAGGAGCAGCUGUUAAGGCUAUGGGUGAAAUGAAUGGCAAAGAAAUAGAAGGGGAAGAAAUUGAAAUAGUCUUAGCCAAGCCACCAGACAAGAAAAGGAAAAGAGCGCCAAGCUGCUAGACAGGCCUCCAGAAGAUUAUUACUACCACCCUUCUCCUCGCAUGCCACCUCCAAUUAGAGGUCGGGGUCCUGGUGGGGGGGAGAGGUGGAUAUGGCUACCCUCCAGAUUACUAUGGCUAUGAAGAUUACUAUGAUGAUUACUAUGGUUAUGAUUAUCACGACUAUCGUGGAGGCUAUGAAGAUCCCUACUACGGCUAUGAUGAUGGCUAUGCAGUAAGAGGAAGAGGAGGAGGAAGGGGAGGGCGAGGUGCUCCACCACCACCAAGGGGGAGGGGAGCACCACCUCCAAGAGGUAGAGCUGGCUAUUCACAGAGGGGGGCACCUUUGGGACCACCAAAAGGCUCUAGGGGUGGCAGAGGGGGUCCUGCUCAACAGCAGAGAGGCCGUGGUUCCCGUGGAUCUCGGGGCAAUUGUGGGGGCAAUGUAGGAGGCAAGAGAAAGGCAGAUGGGUACAACCAACCUGAUUCCAAGCGUCGUCAGUCCAACAACCAACAGAACUGGGGUUCCCAACCCAUCGCUCAGCAGCCGCUUCAGCAAGGUGGUGACUAUUCUGGUAACUAUGGUUACAAUAAUGACAACCAGGAAUUUUAUCAGGAUACUUAUGGGCAACAGUGGAAGUAGACAAGUAAGGGCUUGAAAAUGAUACUGGCAAGAUACGAUUGGCUCUAGAUCUACAUUCUUCAAAAAAAAAAAAA